rnacentral:rRNA from 1 species
UAUGAAGGUCAGGCUGAAGACCUUACCCGAUUAGCUGAGAGGUGGCGCAUGGCCGUCGUCAGUUCGUACUGUGAAGCAUCCUGUUAAGUCAGGCAACGAGCGAGACCCACGUCCACAGUUGCCAGCAUACCCUCCGGGGUGAUGGGUACACUGUGGAGACCGCCGCUGCUAAAGCGGAGGAAGGAGUGGGCAACGGUAGGUCAGUAUGCCCCGAAUCUCCCGGGCUACACGCGGGCUACAAUGGUUGGUACAAUGGGCAUCUACCCCGAAAGGGGAAGGAAAUCUCUUAAAGCCAAUCGUAGUUCGGAUUGAGGGCUGCAACUCGCCCUCAUGAAGCUGGAAUCCGUAGUAAUCGCGUUUCAACAGAACGCGGUGAAUACGUCCCUGCUCCUU